CUACGGAGGGUGCAAGCGUUACUCGGAAUCACUGGGCGUAAAGCGCGCGCAGGCGGCUAUUUAAGUUGGAUGUGAAAGCCUACGGCUCAACCGUAGAACUGCAUCCAAAACUAUUUAGCUAGAGUGUGGGAGAGGAAGAUGGAAUUAGUUGUGUAGGGGUAAAAUCCGUAGAGAUAACUAGGAGUACCAAAAGCGAAGGCAAUCUUCUGGAACACUACUGACGCUGAGGUACGAAAGCGUGGGUAGCAAACAGGAUUAGAAACCCCAGUAGUCC
rnacentral:rRNA from 1 species